rnacentral:rRNA from 1 species
AUUGAACGCUGGCGGCAUGCUUUACACAUGCAAGUCGAGCGGCAGCGCGGGGGCAACCCUGGCGGCGAGCGGCGGACGGGUGAGUAAUGCAUCGGAACGUAUCCCGUAGUGGGGGACAACCCAGCGAAAGCUGGGCUAAUACCGCAUAUGCUCUACGGAGGAAAGCAGGGGACUCGCAAGAGCCUUGUGCUAUGGGAGCGGCCGAUGUCCGAUUAGCUAGUUGGUGGGGUAAAGGCUUACCAAGGCGACGAUCGGUAGCUGGUCUGAGAGGAUGAUCAGCCACACUGGGACUGAGACACGGCCCAGACUCCUACGGGAGGCAGCAGUGGGGAAUUUUGGACAAAUGGGGGCGAACCCUCGAUCCAGCCAUGCGCGUGCGGGAAGAAGGCC